rnacentral:rRNA from 1 species
CCCUUAGAUGUUCUGGGCUGCACGCGCGCUACACUGAAGCUAUCAACACGUUUUCCCUCCCUGAGAAGGGCGGGUAACCUUUUGAAUCAGCUUCGUGGUAGGGAUCGGGGCUUGCAAUUGUUCCCCGUGAACCAGGAAUUCCUAGUAGACGCGAGUCAUAAGCUCGCAUCGAUUAAGUCCCUGCCCUUUGUACACACCGCCCGUCGCUACUAGCGAUUGAACGUUUUAGUGAGGCAUUUGGACCGACGCAUCUCAGUUUAACCGCUGGUUUGUGUUGGAAAGACUUCCAAACUUGAGCGUUUAGAGGAAGUAAAAGUCGUAACA